rnacentral:ncRNA from 2 species
AGGUCUACCUCGGGGGGCCAAUCAUGGCUGAGAUGCGACGCACGCGGACCCGUUGAACCUGAACCGGUUAAGACCGGCGGAGGGAAGGUAUGGCAAUCCCGC